AUUCCAUCGAUAAGUAUGCAUCCCUCAGAUGGUUCCACAACCCUGAACAGAGCUUGGAUCAAAGUGGACUUUCCACUUCCUGUUCUUCCAACUACACCAAUUUUUUUUCCUUCCGGAAAGGUGCAUGUUAUACCUUUUAGUACUCUUGGUAGAUCAGGACUGUAUUGCACAUGAAGUUCCUUCAUUUCGAUCCUUCCUCUUUCCCUCCGGAAAGGUGCAUGUUAUACCUUUUAGUACUCUUGGUAGAUCAGGACUGUAUUGCACAUGAAGAUCCUUCAUUUCGAUUCUUCCUUUUAGCGGCCAAUUGGGUUCCGGCCUGGACUUUUCAAUUAUCAGUGGGGCUUCACU
rnacentral:lncRNA from 1 species